rnacentral:rRNA from 1 species
UACGUAGGGUGCAAGCGUUAAUCGGAAUUACUGGGCGUAAAGCGUGCGCAGGCGGUUUUGUAAGACUGUUGUGAAAUCCCCGGGCUCAACCUGGGAACUGCAUUUGUGACUGCAUCGCUGGAGUGCGGCAGAGGGGGAUGGAAUUCCGCGUGUAGCAGUGAAAUGCGUAGAUAUGCGGAGGAACACCGAUGGCGAAGGCAAUCCCCUGGGCCUGCACUGACGCUCAUGCACGAAAGCGUGGGGAGCAAACAGG